UCUCUGUUAGUAUAUCGGUUAGUACACGCGCCUGUCAUCCUAUCUGUGACGCGCGAAAGCUGGGUUCGACUCCCAGACAGAGAG
rnacentral:tRNA from 2 species